rnacentral:rRNA from 1 species
UUGAUUCUGGCUCAGGAUGAACGCUAGCUACAGGCUUAACACAUGCAAGUCGAGGGGAAACGACAUCGAAAGCUUGCUUUUGAUGGGCGUCGACCGGCGCACGGGUGAGUAACGCGUAUCCAACCUGCCCACCACUUGGGGAUAACCUUGCGAAGGUAAGACUAAUACCCAAUGACGUCUCUAGAAGACAUCUGAAAGAGAUUAAAGAUUUAUCGGUGAUGGAUGGGGAUGCGUCUGAUUAGCUUGUUGGCGGGGUAACGGCCCACCAAGGCUACGAUCAGUAGGGGUUCUGAGAGGAAGGUCCCCCACAUUGGAACUGAGACACGGUCCAAACUCCUACGGGAGGCAGCAGUGAGGAAUAUUGGUCAAUGGACGAGAGUCUGAACCAGCCAAGUAGCGUGCAGGAUGACGGCCCUAUGGGUUGUAAACUGCUUUUAUAAGGGAAUAAAGUGAGUCUCGUGAGACUUUUUGCAUGUACCUUAUGAAUAAGGACAGGCUAAUUCCGUGCCAGCAGCCGCGGUAAUACGGAAGGUCCGGGCGUUAUCCGGAUUUAUUGGGUUUAAAGGGAGCGUAGGCCGGAGAUUAAGCGUGUUGUGAAAUGUAGAUGCUCAACAUCUGCACUGCAGCGCGAACUGGUUUCCUUGAGUACGCACAAAGUGGGCGGAAUUCGUGGUGUAGCGGUGAAAUGCUUAGAUAUCACGAAGAACUCCGAUUGCGAAGGCAGCUCACUGGAGCGCAACUGACGCUGAAGCUCGAAAGUGCGGGUAUCGAACAGGAUUAGAUACCCUGGUAGUCCGCACGGUAAACGAUGGAUGCCCGCUGUUGGUCUGAAUAGGCCAGCGGCCAAGCGAAAGCAUUAAGCAUCCCACCUGGGGAGUACGCCGGCAACGGUGCAACUCAAAGGAAUUGACGG